GCCUUCGUAGCUCAGGGGUUAGAGCACUGGUCUCGUAAACCAGGGGUCUAGAGUUCGUUUCUCUCCGAGGGCA
rnacentral:tRNA from 1 species